UCCCUCUCAGGGUCACACUUGGAGAGUUUCCAGUACUCUACCAGUCUCGGCUAUGGGAGGGACAGUCAAGUAGAGUCACACCCAUUCUAUUCCUAGCUUGGCCAGUGGCUAGCGAGUGGAAGGUAAUCUGCUACAAGU